ACCAACUAACAACAUACCAUCCAGCGAUGAGGAAAAAUAUUGGAGGUUAGGACGAGUUAGUCAAAAACAUCGGCCUUUCGGGUAAGCGUCGUCGGUUGAAUUUCCUCGAUUUUUUUAAAGUUUUUUUCUAUUAUAGUAACAUUUUAGGUUUAAAAUAUUCUAUUAGAAUGUCGAGCGCGUUACAGAGCACUAUAUCGUACAUAAUUCAGCUCGGAUUUAUUCUCAGAUUCGUAAUAAACGGGGUCCUGUAGUACGGAGUCGUAACGGUUUUUUUGUGAUCCUUCAGAGAGAAGUGCAACGGAGAAAUGUCAUUGAUGCGGAUUCUUAGCUCUUAUCUUGAACGUCAUAUCUUUAGUGUUAUUAGUGCGCGUUCACCGUUAAAAUGUGUUCGAUUCUUGUGCUCUAAGUUCUCAGUUUUAGUGCGAGAAAAUGCUGUUUUUCCACUCCGAUCCCAACGCGCUCCAGCCGUGGACUGCAGGACUCAUAUGGAAGACUUCAAAUUUACUGCUCAUCAUGUUUUCAAGCACAGCGUUUUGUUAGUGUAGGCUGCAUAAUCGGCAGACUGUAAUAUUUUCUUAAUCAUCGAUAACUAUUCAAAGUAACAAUCACCAAAUCACUCGUUGAAAACCUGUCUUUUUCCUUAUGAAAAUGCUCACCAUGUUUUCAAGCCCAGCAUUUCGCUAAUGUAGGCUGCAUAAUCGGCAGACUGUAAUUAUUUUCUUAAUCAUCGAUAACUAUUCCAAGUAACAAUCACCAAAUCACUCGUUGAAAACCUGUCUUUUUCCUUAUGAAAAUGCUCACCAUGUUUUCAAGCCCAGCAUUUCGCUAAUGUAUGCUGCAUAAUCGGCAGAUUGUUAAUCAUUUUAUGAAUCAUCACACAUUGAAAACCUGUCUUUUUCCUUAUGAAAAUGCUCACCAUGUUUUCAAGCCCAGCAUUUUGCUAAUGUAAGCUGCAUAGUUGGCGAACUGUAGAAGAUCCAGCAAUCAUGAUAUGUGAAUUCAAAUCUUCAAUGUAAUGUGUUAAACUUGUCUACGUCUAGUGAUGCUCAAUGUUGUUUAUCUAUGAUUAGUUUCUGUCACAUCACCUAGCAAGAGUGUGUCACCAUUGCCCUCGAUUUUGUUGUAAAAUGAAAAUGAAAUUUUAUCAAUUAAAGCCUUCUAAAAUCUUGCUCAUA